GGGCUGUAGCUCAGUGGUAGAGUGCUUACCUAGCAUGCAUGAGGCGCUGGGUUCUAUCCUCAGACUACA
rnacentral:tRNA from 1 species